rnacentral:rRNA from 1 species
AUUGAACGCUGGCGGAAUGCUUUACACAUGCAAGUCGAACGGUAGAGGGGGCAACCCCUUGAGAGUGGCGAACGGGUGAGUAAUAUAUCGGAACGUGCCCAGUCGUGGGGGAUAACGUAGUGAAAAUUACGCUAAUACCGCAUACGAUCUACGGAUGAAAGAGGGGGAUCGCAAGACCUCGCGCGAUUGGAGCGGCCGAUAUCAGAUUAGGUAGUUGGUAGGGUAAAGGCCUACCAAGCCAACGAUCUGUAGCUGGUCUGAGAGGACGACCAGCCACACUGGAACUGAGACACGGUCCAGACUCCUACGGGAGGCAGCAGUGGGGAAUUUUGGACAAUGGGCGAAAGCCUGAUCCAGCCAUUCCGCGUGCAGGAUGAAGGCCCUCGGGUUGUAAACUGCUUUUGUGCAGAACGAAAAGGUCUCUAUUAAUACUAGGGGCUCAUGACGGUACUGUAAGAAUAAGCACCGGCUAACUACGUGCCAGCCGCCGCUGUAA